UCAAACUCUACAACCUUGACGGACCGGAC
rnacentral:piRNA from 1 species